CCUACGGGAGGCAGCAGUGGGGAAUUUUGGACAAUGGGCGAAAGCCUGAUCCAGCAAUGCCGCGUGCAGGAAGAAGGCCUUCGGGUUGUAAACUGCUUUUGUACGGAACGAAACGGUCCGCUUUAAUACAGUGGGCUAAUGACGGUACCGUAAGAAUAAGCACCGGCUAACUACGUGCCAGCAGCCGCGGUAAUACGUAGGGUGCGAGCGUUAAUCGGAAUUACUGGGCGUAAAGCGUGCGCAGGCGGUUAUAUAAGACAGUUGUGAAAUCCCCGGGCUCAACCUGGGAAUUGCAUCUGUGACUGUAUAGCUAGAGUACGGUAGAGGGGGAUGGAAUUCCGCGUGUAGCAGUGAAAUGCGUAGAUAUGCGGAGGAACACCGAUGGCGAAGGCAAUCCCCUGGACCUGUACUGACGCUCAUGCACGAAAGCGUGGGGAGCAAACAGGAUUAGAUACCCUGGUAGUCCACGCCCUAAACGAUGUCAACUGGUUGUUGGGUGCAUUAGUACUCAGUAACGAAGCUAACGCGUGAAGUUGACCGCCUGGGGAGUACGGCCGCAAGGUUGAAAACGUUAACAAGUAGUAAGUUACGGACCGGUCGUAGAGUACGUACCGACCGGACGGACCGACCGAACGGGAAGGGUUAGGAGGG
rnacentral:rRNA from 1 species